AACGAACGCUGGCGGCAUGCCUAACACAUGCAAGUCGAACGAGACCUUCGGGACUGGUGGCGCACGGGUGCGUAACGCGUGGGAACCUGCCCUUAGGUUCGGAAUAACUCCCCGAAAGGGGUGCUAAUACCGGAUAAUGUCUUCGGACCAAAGAUUUAUCGCCUUUGGAUGGGCCCGCGUUGGAUUAGCUAGUUGGUAGGGUAAAAGCCUACCAAGGCGACGAUCCAUAGCUGGUCUGAGAGGAUGAUCAGCCACACUGGGACUGAGACACGGCCCAGACUCCUACGGGAGGCAGCAGUGGGGAAGAUUGGACAAUGGGCGAAAGCCUGAACCAGCAAUGCCGCGGGAGAGAUGAAGGCCUUAGGGUUGUAAAGCUCUUUUACCCGGGAUGAUAAUGACAGUACCGGGAGAAUAAGCUCCGGCUAACUCCGUG
rnacentral:rRNA from 1 species